UCGUGAUUGAUACUGGUGUUUCUUUUCACUUAUCGCUUCACGCCUCGGUGGGAAUUCCGAAAAGAGAUCACAAGGAAUUCAACGUUACUGAACGCAACAUCUAAACAAUUAUCCCCGAGUGUCAGCAGGUUCAUGAGCGGGUGCAGGAGAAACAGCUGGCAAGAUUAAAUUAGUUGCUCCAGGAUUCUGCUCCGGGGUGAUUGUUGCCGAAAAAUGCUUGAUUUUUUCAUCGUGAUGUCACACAACAUGUCUCAACCGGAAUCUACGGAAAAUCCCCUCUAAAAAUCCCAUUUUGCAGUUUAUUUCUGUACCUCUCAGAAAUCCUGGCGGAACAUGAAUAGCACAUUACAAUAUAUUCAAAUAUUUUUAUAAUUAGGAUGAAAACACACUACACUUUUCAUAAACUAGCGAUAAGGAAGAAGCCUUUAUUAUCACCACACAUACAUUACAGCACAGUAGAAUUCUUUUCUUCACAUAUCCCAACUGAGGACGUUGGCGUCAGAGCGCAGGGGCAGCUAUGAUACAGCCCCCUGGAGCAGAGAGGGUUAAGGGUUGCCCAACAGUGUUAGCUUAGCAGCAACAACCCAGAACCUUAACCGGUUCAUAACAACAUCACAAACAGAACUUAAUCUCAUAUCACACUCAUUAACAUUACCUUCACGUUCCUGUUGAGAGGUUUGGAGAAACCAUGUGUUCUGAACACUAGCUUUAAUACACAGCCUUCGGCUAAUAAACCGCGGCUAUGUAAUGUGAUGACGGAAUUGCGUUAAGGAUUCUAUCAGUGCGUAAAAAUUUCAAUGUUCGUAUAAAGUGUUACCAAAGAACUGUGUUAUAAAUUUUGCUAUCAAGUCAGUAAGAUUUAACAUCAGUAGAUAUUUAAAAAUACACACACACACACACACACACACACACACACACACACACACACACACACACACACA